AUUGAACGCUGGCGGCAGGCCUAACACAUGCAAGUCGAACGAGUGGCGGACGGGUGAGCUAUGUCUGGGAAACUGCCUGAGGGAGGGGGACAACUACCGGAAACUGUUGCUAAUACCGCAUACCAUAAGAUGUGCCCAGGUGGGAGUCUCUUGUUGGUGGGGUAACGGCUCACCAAGGCGACGAUCCGUAGCUGGUCUGAGAGGAUGACCAGCCACACGGGAACUGAGACACGGUCCAGACUCCUACGGGAGGCAGCAGUGGGGAAUAUUGGACAAUGGGCGAAAGCCUGAUGCAGCCAUGCCGCGUGUAUGAAGAAGGCCUUCGGGUUGUAAAGUACUUUCAGCGGGGAGGCGUUACCAGCAGAAGAAGCACCGGCUAACUCCGUGCCAGCAGCCGCGGUAAUUC
rnacentral:rRNA from 1 species